rnacentral:rRNA from 1 species
AGUGAACGCUGGCGGUAGGCCUAACACAUGCAAGUCGAACGGCAGCACAGUAAGAGCUUGCUCUUACGGGUGGCGAGUGGCGGACGGGUGAGGAAUACAUCGGAAUCUACUUUUUCGUGGGGGAUAACGUAGGGAAACUUACGCUAAUACCGCAUACGACCUACGGGUGAAAGCAGGGGAUCUUCGGACCUUGCGCGAUUGAAUGAGCCGAUGUCGGAUUAGCUAGUUGGCGGGGUAAAGGCCCACCAAGGCGACGAUCCGUAGCUGGUCUGAGAGGAUGAUCAGCCACACUGGAACUGAGACACGGUCCAGACUCCUACGGGAGGCAGCAGUGGGGAAUAUUGGACAAUGGGCGCAAGCCUGAUCCAGCCAUACCGCGUGGGUGAAGAAGGCCUUCGGGUUGUAAAGCCCUUUUGUUGGGAAAGAAAAGCAGCAGGUUAAUACCCCGCUGCUCUGACGGUACCCAAAGAAUAAGCACCGGCUAACUUCGUA